UGUAUCGCCACUGUCCUCGCAUUCCUCAUCCUCUCCGUCCGGGCGGCGAUUCCUUCAGGCGGCGGCGAUUCUGGUGACAGAAGGCGGAGAGGAGAGAGCCGCAGCAGGUGUCGUGUGGGUUUUGUGGGAACUUUUUCCAGAAUGCCGAAGCUGUUGACUUCAACGUCCAUGGGACGAGUUCCGCUCUUCAGCGGCAGCGGCGAUUGUGGGGAGCGAGAAGGGAAGUGGAGGGGACCACCAUUCAAGAUGGUGUGCCCAAUUUGUUUUGCUCAUUUUUGCAAGGUGGACAAUGGUGAGAGCUUUGGCAUGUUUUUUCCUGAUGCUGACGAAACCUUUACGGUAAACUUUUUGUUUGAUGCGACUUGCAAGUUGACCCUCGACUUGCAACUGGAUCUUUUUGUUUGAUGCCACUUGCAAGUCGACUUUGCAAGUGGGUCUUUUUUGUUUGAUGUCACUUGCAAGUCGACCCUCGAUGUGCAACUAGGUCCUUUUGUUUGAUGUCACUUGCAAGUCGACCCUCGACUUGCAUCUGGGUCUUCUGUUUUCGUGCCACAGGCAAGUCGAGCCUCGACUUGCAACCGGGUCUUUUUGUUUGAUGUCAAAGUCGAGCCUCGACUUGCGACUGGGUCUUCUGUUUUUCAUGCCACUUGCAACUGGAAACUCGACUUGCAACUAGGUCUUUUUUGUUUGAUGCCACUUGCAAGUUGACCCUCAACUUGCAACUGUGUCUUCUUGUUUGAUGCCACUUGCAAGUCGACCCUCGACUUGCAACUGGGUCUUCUAUUUUUUAUGUCACUUGCAAGUGGACCCUCGACUUGCAACUAGGUCUUCUGUUUUCAUCCCACUUGCAAGUGGACCCUCGACUUGCAACCGGGUCUUCUGUUUUCAUCCCACUUGCAAGUGGACCGUCGACUUGCAAGUGGGGUCUUUUUGUUUGAUGCCACUUGCAAGUGGACCCUCGAUUUGCAACUUCGUCCUUUUUUAUGCCAUUUGCAAGUGGACCCUCCACUUGCAACCGGGUUCCUUUGUUUUUCAUGCCACUUGCAAGUGGGAUCCCGACUUGCAACUAGGUCGUUUUGAUUGAUGCCACUCUGCAAGUGGACCCUCGACUUGCAACUGCGUCUUCUAUUUUUUUAUGCCACUUACAAGUGGAUUCUCGACUUGCAAACCGCGUUUCUUUGUUUUUCAUGCCACUUGCAAGUGGACCCUCGAGGUGCAACUGGGUCUUCUCUUUUUUAUGCCACUUGCAAGUGGACUCUCGACUUGCAACCGGGGUCUUUUUUGUUUGAUGCCACUUGCAAGCCGGCCCUCAACUUGCAAUUGGGUCUUGUUUGAUGCCACUUGUAAGUCGACCCUCGGCUUGCAACCGGGUUCCUUUAUUUUGGUGCCACUUGCAAGUGGACCCUUGACUUGCAAUCGGGUCUUUUUUUAUGCCACUUGCAAGUGGACCCUCGACUUGUAACUGCGGUUUUUUUGUUUGAUACCACUUGCAAGUCGACCCUCGACUUGCAACUGGGUCUUCUGUUUUCAUGCCACUUGCAAGUGGACCCUCGACUUGCAACUGAGUCUUUUCUGUUUGAUGCCACUUGCAAGUAGACCCUCAGUUUUCAACUGGGUCUUCUUGUUUGAUGCCACUUGCAAGUCGACCCUCAACUUGCAACUGGGUCUUCUAUUCUUGAUUCCACUUGGAAGUGGACGCUCGACUUUGCGAUCCAGUUACUUGUUUCGUGCCACUUGCAAGCCGAGCCUCGACUUGCAACUAGGUCUUCUGUUUUCAUACCACUUGCAAGUGGACCCUCUACUUGCUACUAGGUCUUUUUGUUUGAUGCCACUUGCAAGUGGAUCCUCGACUUGCAACCACGUCUUCUAUUUUUUUGAUGCCACUCUCAAGUGGACCCUCGACUUGCAAUCGGGUUCCUUUGUUUUUCAUGCCACUUGCAAGUGGAUCCUUGACUUGCAACUACUUCUUCUAAUUUUUUUAUGCCACUGGCAAGUGGACCCUCAACUUGCAACCGGUUCCUUUGUUUUUCAUGCCACUUGCAAGUGGAUCCUCGACUUGCAACCAGGUCUUCUUUUUUUGAUGCCACUUGCAAGUGGACCCUCGACAUGCAACCGAGUUCCUUUGUUUUUCAUGCCACUUGCAAGUGGGCCAUCAACUUGCAACUGCGUCUUCUAUUUUUUUUUUAUGCCACUUGCAAGUGGACCCUCGACAUGCAACCGGGUCUUCAAUUUUCAUGCCACUUGCAAGUGGAUCCUCGACUUGCAACUGGGUCUUUUUUGUUUGAUGCCACUUGCAAGUCGACCCUCGACUUGCAACUGGGUCUUCUUGUUUGAUGCCACUUGCAAGUCGAGGGUAAGUCGACCCUCGACUUGCAACUCGGUCUUUUUGUUAGAUGCCACUUGCAAGUGGACCCCCGACUUGCAACCAGGUCUUUCUUUUUUUGAUGCCACUUGCAAGUGGACCCUCGAUUUGCAACUGGGUCUUUUGUUUUCAUACCACUUUCAAGUGGACCCUCGACUUGCCACUGUGUCUUUUUAUUUGAUGCCACUUGCAAGUGCACCCUCGUCUUGCAACUGCGUCUUCUAUUUUUUUGAUGCCACUUGCAAGUGGACCCUCGACUCGCAACCGGGUUCCUUUGUUUUUCAUGCCACUUGUAAGUGGACCCUCGACUUGCAACCAGGUCUUCUUUCUUGAUGCCACUUGCAAGUGGACCCUCGACUAGCACCGGGUUCCUUUGUUUUUGAUGCCACUUGCAAGUGGACCCUCGACUUGCAACCAAAUCUUCUUUUUUUGAUGCCACUUGCAAGUAGACCCUCGACUUGCCACCGGGUCUUCUAUUUUCAUGCCACUUGCAAGUGGACCCUUGACUUGCAACUGGGUCUUCUGUUUUGAUGCCACUUGCAAGUGGAGCCUGGAGGUGCAACCGGAAUUGAAUUGUUACUCACAACAGCCAGAGGAUUUGAUGUUAUUCCAAACUGAUGGACCGGAUAGGCGAAUGAGUAAGGUGGAAGCAUCUGCAGAAAAUUAGCUUAGUUGCCUUGCAUUUGAGAAAGCUUCAGGUCAAAUACCAUUCCAGGGUACCGGGAGCGCGUAGGCUACGAUCAAAACAUACAACCACUGUUUGUUUCUCCCAUCAACAGAUGGAAAAGGAGAGAGGUGAAAAGUAUCUACAAGGCCGUAUAAGACCAACCUCUGUUUGUUUCUAAAGCUGCAUAAACCCUGUCUGGGUUUUACUUUCCCAGCCACCAAAACUUCUUCUACAAGCAAGCAAGUGUUUUCUGCAGACAAACAAAGCCUGGUCCUUUUUUUCUGUCAAACAAACAAACAUGCAAAAAAAAAGCCCAAGAAACAAGGCCCAGGAGGCAGGGUAGUUGGGCUGGGUGGGUUUGGUGGGAGGGACAAAACAAUACAAGCCAAAACAUACAAACAAGUCCACGUGGAGGGGGGAUCAAGAGCAAACAGUCUGUUUUGUUUGUCAACAAGGGCAGUUUUUAGAGGUGACGUCACAUUUAGAUGUGAGAUAUUAUCUCACAUCUAGAUGUGACAUAGACAGACCCUUAAAACAAACCUCAUUUACUUGUGUGUGUGUUUGCUGAAGGCUGCAAUUGUUAAAAUCUAUGUAACAUCUCAAAAGAUUUAUCUAACUGGAAAAAGUCAUAUAAAAAUAUACUGAAUUGAGAAUCUUUUGCUAUAAUAAAAUGGAUAUUUGGCAUUUCUCACGCAAAACUCUGCUAGUGCCUGAAAUACCACGUAUAUGAUUAACCAUGCGGACACUUUAUUAUCUUCCAGGGGCAAUAAAAUGUCAGUUCAAAAUGGUACAGAAUGACAUGAAUAGAACGUUAGAAAUACCAUGGUGAAUUGCUGUUCAGAAUCUAGGGGCAUUCUAUAGUA